rnacentral:rRNA from 1 species
UACGGAGGGGGCUAGCGUUGUUCGGAAUUACUGGGCGUAAAGCGCACGUAGGCGGUUAUUCAAGUCAGAGGUGAAAGCCCGGGGCUCAACCCCGGAACGGCCUUUGAAACUAGAUAGCUAGAGUCUUGGAGAGGUUAGUGGAAUUCCGAGUGUAGAGGUGAAAUUCGUAGAUAUUCGGAAGAACACCAGUGGCGAAGGCGACUAACUGGACAAGUACUGACGCUGAGGUACGAAAGCGUGGGGAGCAAACAGG